GAUGAACGCUAGCGAUAGGCCUAACACAUGCAAGUCGAGCGAACCCUUCGGGGUUAGCGGCGGACGGGUGAGUAACGCGUGGGAAUAUGCCCUUUGCUACGGAAUAGCCCCGGGAAACUGGGAGUAAUACCGUAUACGCCCUUUGGGGGAAAGAUUUAUCGGCAAAGGAUUAGCCCGCGUUGGAUUAGGUAGUUGGUAGGGUAACGGCCUACCAAGCCUGCGAUGGGUAGCUGGUCUGAGAGGAUGAUCAGCCACACUGGAACUGAGACACGGUCCAGACUCCUACGGGAGGCAGCAGUGAGGAAUAUUGCGCAAUGGCCGAAAGGCUGACGCAGCGACGCCGCGUGAGGGAUGAAGUCCGUUAGGAUGUAAACCUCUUUUGCAGGGGAUGAACGUCUCGCUAUACGCGGGAUUGACCGUACCUUGCGAAUAAGGAUCGGCUAACUACGUG
rnacentral:rRNA from 1 species